rnacentral:lncRNA from 1 species
GAGGAUAAUGGGAAAACACUGAAAAUUGUUGAAGAUAUGUGAUCUGAUAUUAUGGAAAGAUUUGAUAAUAUAAAUAUUAGGAAAGAUUUGAUUAUAGUAUCAUAUAUUAAUUAGGUAUCAUAUGAUUAUAGUAUCAUAUAUUAAUUAGGUAAUAGUAUGAUUAUAGUAUCAUAUGAUUAUAGUAUCCACUUGUGUAUAUAUAUAUUUGUAUAUUGUGUAGUCCAAAGUAAAAUAGAAGAAAAGUAUUUUUUCUCUCCAUUUUUCUUAGUUUACAUGGUAUCAGAGCCCGUCUAGGGUUCUGGGAAAAAUACCACCUUUGCUUCUUGUCAAUUCCAGCCUUAAUUGCUGGUUCCUUUCUUAUUCUCUCCAGCCUUCAUUGCUGUUCCUGUUACUAUACAUUUUUUUCCCCCCCUCCUAUUCAAUCAUGGCGGAUGCUACAUCCUCAACGCGGCAAUUGUCUUCAACUAUGGAAGAAGAACAAAGUACACGGAACACAACAGAGCUUCAAAACAUCCAGGCAGCAUAUAGACUAAAUGGAAAAAAUUAUUUGAAGUGGUCUCAAUUGGUUCGAACAUUCCUGAAAGGAAAAGGAAAGUUGAGUCAUCUAUUGGAAAUAGCACCGGAUAGUGAAACGGCGGGGUUUGAAGCAUGGGAACAAGAGGAUUCAAUGAUCAUGUCUUGGUUAUGGAAUUCCAUGAUUCCUGAAAUCAGCGAUACAUGUAUGUUUCUUCCUACAGCAAAGGCAAUUUGGGAUGCCCUUCAUCAGACAUAUUCCAAGGUUAAUGAUGCAGCUCUUAUCUAUGACAUCAAGACAAAGACAACUGGAGCAAAACAAGGGACAAAAACAGUGACGGAGUAUGCCAAUUUUCUGCAAAACCAGUGGCAGGAACUGGAUUAUUACAGGGCACUUGAUUUGAACUGUAGCAAAUGUGCAGUGUUUAUCAAGAAGUUCAUAGAAAGGGAUCGAGUUUAUGAUUUUUUGGCUGGCCUAAACUCUGAAUUCGAUCUUGUACGAAUUCAAAUUCUGGGCAGGCCAGAGUUUCCUUCUUUAACAGAAGCAAUAUCCCAAGUACGUGGAGAAGAAAGUCGCAGGGGUAUUAUGUUAGAGCUACCUUCAAUAGAAAAUUCAGCCCUUUUAAGUUCCAAAUCUCAGCGGUUGGUACUGAACAAGGUUGCUGCGGACAAGACCAAUCAAAUAAGUGGGCAAAAGAAUCGCGAGGAGUUAUGGUGCACAUACUGCAAGAAACCACGACACACCAUAGAUCAAUGCUGGAAACUACAUGGGAAACCACCCACUCGUGAAUGGGGACAAAAAGGUGGCCAGCAAAGGCAGGCUCAUAUGUCGGUUCAAGAUCCAACUCAAGUGAUUGGAGGGUUUAGUAUGGAGGAAAUUGAGAAGCUUAAAAGUAUGUUAGAGACGGUUGACAACCCAGCAACUAACAAUUCUCAAUCAAGGAAUCCGGGUAUGUGUUCAUUGACACUUUCAGGUAAGGCUCUAGUCUCUUUUGCAUUUAGUGUUUUAGGCAAUGAGCUUAGGAAUGUCUGGAUUCUUGACUCUGGUGCUACGGACCAUAUGACUCAUAUUUCAAAUAAAUUCAAAACCUAUAAUCCCUGUCCUAGCAAUAGAAAGAUUGUUGUUGCAGAUGGUACUACAACCACUGUGGCAGGUAUCGGAGAUGUCCAAGUUACUCCAAAUUUGAUUCUUAAAAAUGUUCUUCAUGUUCCUCGAUUAUCUACAAAUUUGGUUUCUGUAAAAAAACUUGCCAAGGAUCUAGCUGGCUCUGUUAUAUUUGAUGAAUCCUAUUGUGACUUUCAGGACCGGGGUUCGGGGAAGAGGAUUGGACUAGCUAAGGAGCAUGAUGGACUCUAUUACUUGGAUACAUCAAGUCAACCCGAAUUUAGUAAAUCUGCCCUGUCCACAUUGUCUUCACCCUCCAAUAAAGAUGUCAUCUGGUUACAUCAUAGACGUCUAGGUCAUGUGUCUUUUUCUGCAUUAAAAAUAAUGUUUCCUUCCUUGUUCAAGGGAUUUGAUGUUCAGUCUUUUCAUUGUGAUAUUUGCGAGUAUGCUAAACACACUCGUGUCCCAUUUCCUAUCAGUAAUAAACGAUCGUCUUCUCCUUUCUUUUUAAUCCAUAGUGAUAUUUGGGGGCCAUCAACUAUUCCAAACAUCUCAGGGUCUAAGUGGUUUGUCACAUUUAUCGAUGACUGCACAAGAGUCUCUUGGAUCUAUUUACUCAAAAAUGAGUCUGAUUUGAGUUAUAUUUUCCCUGUUUUUCAUGCAAUGAUUCAAAAUCAAUUUGGCACCAAGAUAAAACACUUUCGUUCAGAUAAUGCUCGUGAUUAUUUCAAUCAAACCUUGAGUCAGUUUUUCCAAAAAGAAGGAAUCAUACAUGAAUCAUCCUGUAUUGCCACUCCACAACAAAAUGGAGUGGCAGAACGGAAAAACCGACAUCUUCUUGAGUGCACUAGAGCCUUACUGUUUGAACAAAGUGUGCCAAAAGCAUAUUGGGGAGAAGCUGUACUCACAUCAGCUUAUGUCAUAAAUAGAAUUCCUUCCAAGGUCUUGGGGUUUCAAAGUCCACUAGAGAACCUAUCCAAAUUUUACCCCGAUAUUCGAUCUUCCUUUAAUCUCACUCCUCGAGUUUUUGGAUGUACUUCCUUUGUUCAUGUCCAUAGUCAUAACCGUGGGAAGUUAGAUCCUCGUGCUCUUAAGUGUGUCUUCGUGGGGUACUCAUCUACUCAAAAGGGUUACAAAUGUUAUCAUCCACCUACUAGAAAACUCUAUGUCUCGGCAGAUGUUACAUUUGUUGAAAAUAAGCCCUAUUUCAUCACUCCUUAUCUUCAGGGGGAGUUAGAUACACUUGAAGAUAAGGAGUUAAAAUUUCCCUCCUUAGAGUUGACCACAUCUGAGUCAUCCAAAUCUGAAUUCCAAGAGUCAAUUCUUCAAUCUGAUGUGGUAGAAGAAAAAAAGGAAGACCGUAAAAUCUAUGACUGGUUCCGGUUUGACCAAGUGUAUACAAGGAAAGGAGAUCCCAUCGUGGUUACAAGGCAAGAACAAUCCUCUAAACCAAGCUCCGGGAAUGAGGUAACAAUGAGUGAAUCAAAUCUGAAUUCUACACCACCGACCGACCAUUCUUCCAGCUCUAAAUCACCUUGUCCUGAGCCUCUUAGCCCUGACCAGGACCUACAUCUACCUAUUGUUGUAAGGAAAAAACCCCGAGAAUGCACCAAAAGACCCCUAUAUCCAUUGUCUCACUUUGUGUCUUUUGAGAAGUUUUCCCCGAGCCAUCAAAGCUUCCUUUCCACCUUAAAUACAGUCUCUAUUCCUAGCUCAUUGUCUGAAGCAUUAUCAAAGAAAGAAUGGAGACUUGCUAUGGAAGUAGAAAUGGAUGCAUUAGAGAAGAAUGGGACCUGGGAAUUAGUUGAUUUACCAAAGAACAAGAAAGUAGUGGGUUGUAAAUGGGUGUAUGCAGUAAAGUUUAAAGCAGAUGGGUCCCUAGAACGCUACAAGGCAAGGUUAGUCGCGAAAGGAUACACACAGACAUAUGGAGUAGAUUAUCGGGAAACAUUUGCUCCAGUAGCAAAGAUGAAUACAGUGAGAAUUCUGCUAUCCUUGGCUGUUAAUUUUGAUUGGGAAUUACAGCAAUACGAUGUGAAGAAUGCUUUUCUUCAUGGAGAGUUGGAAGAGGAGAUUUAUAUGAGCAUUCCACCGGGAUUCAGUGGGGUUGACAAGAACAAGGUUUGUCGGUUAAAAAAGGCAUUAUAUGGGCUGAAACAAUCCCCACGUGCUUGGUUUGGACGAUUUGCCAAGGUAAUGAUAGCUAAUGGUUACAAGCAAAGUCAAGGAGAUCAUACCCUGUUCAUCAAGCAUUCAGCCUUGGGGGGAGUUACUGUUUUGAUUGUAUACGUAGAUGAUAUCAUAGUGACAGGAAACGAUGAAGUAGAGAAGAAAACUUUGAAGUGGUGCCUAGCCAAGGAAUUUGAAAUAAAGGAUUUAGGAAAAUUGAAGUAUUUUCUGGGAAUUGAAGUGGCUCGAUCAAGGCAGGGAAUUUUUAUUUCUCAACAGAAGUAUGUUAUGGACCUGCUCAAGGAAACAGGCAUGACAGCAAGCAAACCAGUUGGAACUCCCAUUGAGCAGAAUCACAAAUUAAGUGAGGCUCAUGGAGAUACAGCUGUGGACAGAGAGAUGUACCAAAGACUUGUUGGGAAACUCAUUUAUCUCGCACAUACUAGGCCAGAUAUAGCUUACUCAGUCAGUGUUAUUAGUCAGUUUAUGCAUGAUCCUAGAGCAGUUCAUCUACAAGCAGUUUAUCGAGUGCUUCAUUACUUAAAGGCACAUCCAGGGAAGGGAAUUUUAUUCAAAAAGGGUCCUGAAAUUGAUCUGGCAGUUUACACAGAUGCAGACUUUGCAGGGUCUCCAGUUGACAGGCGAUCAACUUCAGGAUAUUGUACAUUUCUUGGAGGAAACUUAAUAUCCUGGAGAAGCAAGAAACAAAGUGUGGUAGCAAGGUCAAGUGCUGAAGCAGAGUUCAGGGCUAUGGCAGCAGGGGUAUGUGAAUUAUUGUGGGUUAAAAUUAUCCUAGAAGACUUGAGGAUUCAAUGGAGCAAACCGAUGAAGCUAUAUUGUGAUAACAAAUCUGCUAUAAGUAUAGCUCACAACCCAGUGCAACAUGAUCGGACGAAGCACAUAGAGAUAGACAGGCACUUUAUUAAAGAGAAGCUAGAAAGUGGACUGAUUUGUACUCCAUAUGUUCCGACAGGACUUCAACUUGCAGAUGUGAUGACAAAGGGACUGUGUAGCAACAUGUUUCAUGAAAGUGUUGCCAAGCUGGGAAUGGAAGAUCUAUAUUCACCAGCUUGAGGGGGAGUGUUGAAGAUAUGUGAUCUGAUAUUAUGGAAAGAUUUGAUAAUAUAAAUAUUAGGAAAGAUUUGAUUAUAGUAUCAUAUAUUAAUUAGGUAUCAUAUGAUUAUAGUAUCAUAUAUUAAUUAGGUAAUAGUAUGAUUAUAGUAUCAUAUGAUUAUAGUAUCCACUUGUGUAUAUAUAUAUUUGUAUAUUGUGUAGUCCAAAGUAAAAUAGAAGAAAAGUAUUUUUUCUCUCCAUUUUUCUUAGUUUACAAAAAUCAUAGGAGUUUA